CGUAAAAUGUUAUGAAACUUUCGGAUUGGCUCGCGCAAAACAAUCGGAAUUCGAAUUUGGCAAACCAAACGGAUACGCAAAAUAAGCAGUGAGUGUGAAAAACGUUUAAGUGACCAAUGCCAGGCAGAGUGAUGCCACCGACAGGGAGGGGAAUGGACAACAAAGGCCCAAAACAAAAAUUGACACAAGAGGUUGAACAAACAUCUGCAUAUUGUGACAAUUCUCCA